GCUCGCUCCGAGGCCGCCGUGUGCGCCUGAGGCUGUUGGCUGCGGUCUUGAAACGGGCUCUGGGAGCUUCCUCUGCGCGGUCGGCCCUGGCUGAGGCGUCCCGGGCUGCGCGCGGGGCUCGGCGCUGCGCAGUGUCCGGUGUCCUCUCGGUCCGGAGCUUCUCCAGAGGAGGAGCGGCUCGUGCGCCCCCAGACCUCCGGUACUGGGAGACUCGGGCCCUCCUGUAAGAGACCUGAGCGCGGAGCGUUAUGGGCACCCGGUGAAUGAGCAAAUGGCAGGGAAAACCGUGCAGCCCCAUGGACUGCGGGCUCUUCCUUCACGACUAGCAAAAGCUUUGACACCCUUUCUCCUGCGUACGCGUGUCUGUGUGCGUGUAAGCUGUGGCUGGGUGCGGGGGGCUGUGUACGUGUCUGUGUGUGGUGUGUGUGGAGUGUUUGAGGCAGGUGUGUGGUGUUUCAGGUGUGUGUGCAUGUGUGGUGUUUGAGGUGUGUGUGUGUGUUUUUGUAGUGUUUGAGGGAUAUGUGUGUGUGGUGUUUGAGGUGGGUGUGUGGUGUUUGAGGGGUGUGUGUGUGUGGUUGAGGGGUGUGUUUGGUGUUUGAGGGGUGUGUGUGGUUGAGGUGUAUGGUGGUUGAGGUGUGUGUAGUGUUUGAGGCACGUAUGUGUGUGGUGUUGGGUGUGUGUGGUGUUAGAGGUGUGGCGUAUGUGUGUUUGCGGUGGUUGAGGUGUGUGUGUGUGUCUGGUGUUUAGGGUGUGUCUGUUGUGUGCGUGUGGUGGUGGAGGCGUGGUGUGGUGUGGAAUGUGUGUCUGGGGUCCAGUCUGGCCUGUUGCAGGGUUACGCUGCUGGGGAAAAACUCAUCUGAGGACAACGUGAUUGGGUCCUCGCUCCCUCGUUGGGCAGCCUUGGACUUAACCUUUUUGAUCUUGAAGGAAAACACAAUAUGUCACCUCCAAAUAUAUUUCCUUGACACGGUUCAAGACAGUUACUCAGAAGGACUGGAAAUAGAAGAAUAGCUGAAAAGCUGUCUUUUGUGGGGGAGAUUUGCAUCUGUGGAGAGAAUCUACACUGAUGCGGCCAGGCCUCCUCUGAGGCCCUCCUUGCCUGAUCUGGGAAGAGUAACAGUCUGACGCCUUUAAAGGCCUGAAGGGAACAUUCACCAUCUGUUCUCUCUCAGGGCUGCUACCUGUGAGGUUUCAUCUGUAGAACAAGGCCACCUUUGCUAGCCAGGCCUCCUCUGCUCUCCCUCCUGUAACCGGUCUUGCCACUGGUCACCUGAUUUUCCACCAUAAACUGUGGCCAUACUUUGAGCCCAUGUUCUUUCUGUAACCUCAAGAUGGUAUAUAAGCUUCCGAACCCCAUUGGGAGGUUGGGGUCAUCACUCUGGUUCUCCCUGUGUGCAUGAAUAAAUCUGUAUGCCUUUUUUCUUACUAA
ensembl:lncRNA novel transcript